UUACCACUGCAACAAACAAACAUUCAUUCAGUUGCAGGAGAACUCUUGAAACGUUCGGAAGAAAUUGCAAUUUUAUCGGUCAGAGCAAAGAUGAAUAAAACGUUACUCAUCGCCUUUGUGCUGGUUGCCAUUUCAUGGCAAUUAGUUUCAGCUGCAGUAGAAUCAAAAACCUUCAUUAUUGCCCCACAACAAGAAAAUUGUAGAGGACCUUUUCCAAGAAAAUGUCUUCGGAUUAAAUACGAUCCUGCCGAAGAUUGGAACUUCUUCUACGGCUAUAUUGAUGGCUUCAACUAUGAACCCGGCUAUGAAUAUGUUCUGAAAGUAGACGCUGAAGACGUACCCAACCCGCCCAUUGAUGGAAGUAGUGUAAAAUACACUUUAAAGGAACAAGUUUCUAAAACAAAAGCUUAGAGACAUCAAAUUAACUGUUUAUAUUUGCCGUUGUGACUAAUGAUUUCAAUAAAUAAUCGACAUCUAAUAAAAA